rnacentral:lncRNA from 1 species
AUGUCACAAGCUUGUGCUUCAGGAAGGCAGGUUCCAGGCUGUUCAAAAGUAAGAAGACCCUUCUGAUGCCCAAGACAAACUCUUAACCCAUAAAAUCAAACAGCAAAUGACAUAAUCCCAACAUGCAACCUCGCACAGUAAAUCUUCCCUUUGGGAGGAACAGGAGGAUAGCAAGGAAAAAACCACACCAAAGCAAGACCAAACCCUAGCAGGACAGAGACAAAAGCCUGUACAUAACUCCAUGCCUAAUGUUCAAGGCUUGUGGAGGCAUUAUCUGGGCUCCAGAGAACUUGGAUGGCACUGUCUCUGUGACUCCACUGUGGCAAUGGUGAUUUUUCUUUUGGAUUUGCUGUGUUUGGUGCCUGGAGCUCUCCCUACUAGAUAUACUACACUGGUGGCAUAUCUACUCUCCUGGAUUCUCAUUGCAGCUUAGGCUUCACCCCCACAACUGUACAUUUUGGUCUCUUCUAUGGAUUUAUCAACAUCACACAUUUCCUGGUCUCACAACAUCUUCGGAACCUUGGUGUAAGUUCCAUGACCCACUUAACAACUGCCUUUUUUUAUUCCUGCAAACCAACAUUAUGUGAAGGAUGCCAAGUUCUGCUGCCAAUUUGCAAAGUUUCAUAGUCCCUCUGAACCAUGGCUGUGACAGCUACUGAGCCUCUGUGAAGCUCAACUGAGGAGAGCAUGUCUCUAUGAAGUUCUACAUACAGAAGAAACUCUGGAGGCUUUGUGUUCUUGUGAACUCUCUUUAUACAUGGACGUGUUUUGUUUUUUAAAGUUUAUUUUAAGUUUUAUAGCUCACAGCUUUUGGUGGGUAGGGUCUUACUCUUAAGUCACCAAUCCCGUUGUCCCAGUGCAGAGUGAAAAGCUCUUCUAUGGUGCUAAUCUGAUAAUCAACAACACUUAGUCUGAGGCCAUUUUGGUCUUUGCUUUAAAUGCACCCAAGCUUCUUUCCCAGCAGCUUCUGCUCCAGUGUUUGCUUUGAAUUCCUGCUAGAAACCUGGCAGAGGAAGUGGACAGUGACCAUGCCACAACCUGCAUGCUACAGUGUCUUAAAAUUGCUCUGUUAC